GGCAUAGCUGCCCUAUCGAUGGUGAACAAAUCCUGGCAGAAGACGUCGAUUGGAGGGAGUGUCCGGUGCACAACCUGCUGAAACGGAAGAUUGUAUAGCGAAUACAUUGAGCAGACUGACUGUAAAGAGCUGCUAGAAAGAUCAAGUGCAGUGCUGGAACCAAGACCAUGGGUGCAACGUUAUCUUGGCUGCAUCGGAACUGAACGAACACUUUUGCAAAGAGUGCAACCAC